GAUGAAGAACGUAGCGAAAUGCGAUACGUAGUGUGAAUUGCAGAAUUCAGUGUAUCAUCGAAUCUUUGAACGCACAUUGCACCUCUCGGUAUUCCGGGAGGUAUGCCUGUUCGAGCGUCAUUUGUACCCUCAAGCUCUGCUUGGUGUUGGGUGUUUGUUCCGCCUCUGUGUGUGAACUCGCCUCAAAACAAUUGGCAGCCGGCGUACUUGUUUCGGAGCGCAGCACAUUUUGCGAUCCAGAUCAACGUACAGCGGCAUCCAAGAAGCCUUAUUUAACGCUCUUGACCUCGGAUCAGGUAGGGAUACCCGCUGAACUUAAGCAUAUCAAUAAGCGGAGGA
rnacentral:misc_RNA from 1 species